rnacentral:rRNA from 1 species
CGUGUAGGCGGGCAAUCAAGUCAGAUGUAAAAGGCGACGGCUUAACCGUAGUAUGUCAUCUGAUACUGGUUGUCUUGAGUUCGGGAGAGGGUGGUGGAAUUCCCGGUGUAGCGGUGAAAUGCGUAGAUAUCGGGAAGAACACCAGAAGCGAAGGCGGCCACCUGGAUCGACACUGACGCUGAGACGCGAAAGCGUGGGUAGCAAACA